UGCAUAAUGGCAGGAAUCCUCUUGGGACCUAUCUUGAACAGUUCGGCUUCCAGACCAUCGCUGCCAGGUGACUUGUUGCAUUUCAGCUGUUUGAUGGCACUGAUGACUUCGCCCAAGGAUGGCGGGGGCACUUCGUCAUCCUGCUGACUGUCGUAGUACUGCUCUCCUCUGCUGCCUGCGCCUGGUUCAGUCUCUCCUGCAUCUGCUCCGUUCAGGUGACUGUCGAAGUAGCACUUCCACCUGUCGAUCAGCUCUUCAGGCACAUAGCGGUCAUGGGAGUAAACCGCCUCGGGCCGCAUUCAACGUACUGUACAGUUUCUCCCGACUGGGAUAGAUGCUGCAUCAGUUGUUCAUCCGACUCUUCUUGGCGGGUCUGCUGCCUUCUUAGUCGUCUAUAGUUUUCCACGUUCUGCCAGGUUCUGCCAGAACAACAACUGGAGCAUACGAGGGGUCAACACGUGUGGGAAGGUUAUGACGGCUUAACAUACUUGUGGGCGGGGCUACGAGGGUUUAAAAUGCGUGUGGGAAGGUUGCAGUGGCUUAAGAGGGUUUAAAACUCGUGUGGGUGGUUCAAUGAGGGCCAAACACGUGUGGGCUGGGCAAUAGGGACGUCAAGCAGGUGUAGGAGGGCCACGAGGGCUCCACACAAGUAUGGGCGGGUCUACGAAGGCAUAAGAAACAAGUGGGAGGGGCUAUGUAGGCUUAAAACACUUGUGGGCUACGAGGGCUCAAAACUUGAGGAGGAAGGAUUUACGUGGGCCCAAAACCUAUGGUGGAAGAGACUGAUGAGGGUCCAAAAUUCGCGUGUAUUAAAAGGGGGCGAAUCUACGAUGGAUUUAAUAAAAAGGAGGCGUGGCUACGGGCGGUUAAAGCUGAUUGGAGCUGUUUAUUAAAAAGUGGGCGUGGUUACGGCCGGUUAAAGCAAAAAGGGCGUGGCUACGGAUGAUAAAAUCCGAUUCGAUGGUUUAACCAAAAAGGGAACGUGGCUGCGGGUGGUUAAAGCACAAGGUGGGCGUGGCUACGAUCGGUAAAAAUCGAUAUUUGUUUUUUUUAAAAGAGAGGGUGGCUACGGCUGCUUAAACGAUUGUAGCCACGCCCCCAUUUAAAAAAAGCCAAAUAUCGAUGAUCAUCGAUCGUAGCCACGCCCCUUUUCGGUUAAAUCGAUCCUAGCCACGCCCACUUUUUGCAUUAACACCCGCAGUCACGCCCCCUUUUUGGUUCAACCAAAAAGGAUGGAUUUUAUCAUCCGUAGCCACGCCCUUUUUUGCUUUAACUGUCCGUAACCACGCCCAUCUUUUAAUAAACAGCUCCAAUCGGUUUUUACCGCCCGUAGCCACGCCCCCUUUUUAAUCACGCGAAUUUUGGACCCUCAUCAGUCUCUUCCACCAUAGGUUUUGGUCCCUCGUAAAUUCUCCCUCCCCAGGUUUUGAGCCCUCGUAGCCUGCCCACAAGUGUUUUAAGCCUACGUAGCCCCGCCCACUGGUUUCGUAUGCCUUCGUAGACCCGCCCAUACUUGUGUGGAGCCCUCGUGGCCCUCCUACACCUGUUUGACGCCCCCAUUGCUCCACCCACACGAGUUUUAGACCCCCCUUAGUCACUGUAACCCUCCAACACCAUUUUAAACCCUCGUAGCCCCGCCCACAAGUAUGUUAAGCCGUCAUAACCUUCCCACACGUGCUGACCCCCCGUAUGCUACAGUGCGAGACCUGGCAGAACGUGGAAAACUAUAGACGACUAAGAAGGCAGCAGACCCGACAAGAAGAGUCGGAUGAACAACUGAUGCAGCAUCUAUCCCAGUCGGGAGAAACUGUACACGGUUUUACUCCCAUGACCGCUAUGUGCCGCAACGAGGAAGGAGAUACCCUGUCGGACGAUCAAGAGCUGAUCGACAGGUGGAAGUGCUACUUCGACAGUCACCUGAACGGAGCAGAUGCAGGAGAGACUGAACCAGGCGCAGGAAGCAGAGGAGAGCAGUACUACGACAGCCAGCAGGAUGACGAAGUGCCCCCGCCAUCCUUGGACGAAGUCAUCAAUCCCAUUAAACAGCUGAAAUGCAACAAGUCACCUGGCAGCGAUGGUCUGGAAGCCGAACUGUUCAAGAUGGGUUCCAAGAGGAUUCCUGCCAUUAUGCAUCGGUUAAUCGUAGGGAUUUCGGACUAGUGGAAACUGAGUGUUAUACACCCAGUGUACUAAAAGGGCGAAAAACUGGACUGUGCUAACUUCCGAGCCAUCACAGCCCUGAAUGUUGCCUACAAGAUCCUGUCCCGAAUACUCUUCUGCAGACUUGCGCCCCUUGCCACAGAUUUCGUCGGAAGCUAUAAAGCUGGAUUUGGUAGAGCCAACCGACCAAAGCUUUACUCUAUGGCAGAUCCUCCAGAAGUGCCGAGAGCACCAGAUCCCUAAGCACCACUUGUUCAUUUACUUAAGACCUAUGAUACCAUAGAUCGGACCGAACUAUGGAACAGAUUCCCAGGGAUGCUAGGCUAUCGCGAAGGCUACUAUGGACGGAGUGCAGAGCAAGGUGAGAUUGUCGGAAUAGUUCGUAUCGGACUCUUCUGUUAACAUCGCUCUGGAAGGUGUGCGAGGCGUACACGCGACUGAAACAAUGGCGCGUAUGGUUUUGAAGCACUAAUAAAGAACAAUUCGACCACGAUUACUUGCUCUCGUAGCCCCAGCCACAUGUGUUUGACGCCCCUGUAGAUCCGCCCACGCGUGUUUGACGUCCACGUAGCCUUCCAACUGCCUGCUGCUCGUCGCUUGGCGUCCACUGGUUGGCGUACCCCGCCGCCCUUCGCUUGCCGUCCAACGGUUGCCGCACGAUGCUGCCCAUCGCUUGCCGUCUACCGGUCACCGCCGGUCGUCGCAUAACGCCAUCGCCGACGAAAUUGCAAACCAAUCGACGACAUCUGCAAUAAACCAAUGAAAACAUCAGAUGAGUCAGAGAGGGGUCUGGCAAGGGAAAGCUUUGGUAUGUUGUGCAGCAUCCAGUCAAAGAUUACAAACUGCGACAUGCAAAUGACUGAUCGUACCGUCGGUGUCCAAGCUACAAAGAUUGAUGAGUUUCCACUGUGGAGGAUCACUUAUCAAUGAGACUUCUGUUGUUUUUACUGCAUUUUUUCCGGGAUUCCAGUGGAUUUUCCGGCAUUUUUGCAGAUUGUUGUCCACAAAAACUAUGACCCGAAGGAUCCGAGCAAUGCCAACGAUAUAAGAUGGAAACACAUUUGUAUUACAAUCGUAAGGGAAUUUUCACCAUAAAUGCUUCAAUGGCGAUUCAGCAUACCGCAAGGAGGACUUGUUGAUCAUACCAAACAGGGAUGCAGAUCCAGCAGCUUUCAACACUAUGUAGGCAUACUGCAGAACUCAUUAUAAUUGAGCGUUGUUGCGUAUUGAGCUUAUCUUGUGCACUUUAAAAUAUGUGCCUUGAUCAUGGAAUACAUCUUUAAACAAUCAUUAUUUUCGUGCAUUAAACAACGUAAUCGAAUUACUGCUUUAUACACCGGAAAAUGUGUACAAAUAAUAAAUGUAUGUUGUGAACUUCACAAUAUGUGUAUUGAAAAUGGAAUACAUCUUUAAGCAGUCGUGGUCGUUCAUUUUCUUCUUGCAUUAAAUAACCUAGUCGAGAUACAUAAAAUUGAUCUACCCAAUAUAAAUACUCGUUGGUAGCUACGUAAAAGCUUAAAUAAAAAAAAUGGAUUCAACGUUUUCAAAACAAAAAGAAUUUUCAUAAAUCGAGAAGCUCAUUGAGAAACGGAAAUAUUGUUAAGUAAAUUGUCUUUUUGAUUUACAUUUUUCCAGCGAAGUCGAUGGUAAUAAUAAGCGCUUGGAUACCUUAGCGUUCUCCGGAAUCUUCCCCGAUUGACAUAAACCAGAAUCUUUUUACCGAGUUGCUUUACCAUGACUUCCCAAUGGUCUAUUAUCCCACUGGUCGUAGUAAGGACGACGUAGCUAAAGGGACGGAAGAUCAGCAGAUUAUUCGUUAAUUGUUCAACACCUUCCAGCCAUCGGCUGGGUAUGGGUUAGUGCCGUUGAAUGGAUGUAUGGUGCCGGGUUUUGCCGUGUGGGUUGUGCCCGCAUGAUGCUGUUGAUGAUCCAGCCCAUCAGUGUAACAGUUCAUCGUGUGCGCCUGCAUUUAUGCGCGUGUGCAAAUUGAAGCGAAAUUGAUAUUCAAAUUUGGAAUUGAAACCCCUCGCCGAAGUGUGGUAUGGGUCGUGAGAGGGAGGAAUAAUUUUUCAUUUUCUGACCCGGCGUAUGUUGAGGCGUAUAAAAGGCGAAGUGGACCCAUCGGCAUUUGCCGGAGCGUAGAGAUGAGUACACUCCUGUGAGCAGUGUUGCCAGUUUUAGCACAAAGCGUGCAGAAACGA